rnacentral:rRNA from 1 species
CAUACAAGUCGAACGGAAAGGCCCUGCCUUUGUGGGGUGCUCGAGUGGCGAACGGGUGAGUAACACGUGAGUAACCUGCCCUUGACUUUGGGAUAACUUCAGGAAACUGGGGCUAAUACCGGAUAGGAGCUCCUGCUGCAUGGUGGGGGUUGAAAGUUUCGGCGGUUGGGGAUGGACUCGCGGCUUAUCAGCUUGUUGGUGGGGUAGUGGCUUACCAAGGCUUUGACGGGUAGCCGGCCUGAGAGGGUGACCGGCCACAUUGGGACUGAGAUACGGCCCAGACUCCUACGGGAGGCAGCAGUGGGGAAUAUUGCACAAUGGGCGGAAGCCUGAUGCAACAACGCCGCGUGCGGGAUGACGGCCUUCGGGUUGUAAACCGCUUUCGCCUGUGACGAAGCGUGAGUGACGGUAAUGGGUAAAGAAGCACCGGCUAACUACGUGCCAGCAGCCGCGGUGAUACGUAGGGUGCGAGCGUUGUCCGGAUUUAUUGGGCGUAAAGGGCUCGUAGGUGGUUGAUCGCGUCGGAAGUGUAAUCUUGGGGCUUAACCCUGAGCGUGCUUUCGAUACGGGUUGACUUGAGGAAGGUAGGGGGGAAUGGAAUUCCUGGUGGAGCGGUGGAAUGCGCAGAUAUCAGGAGGAACACCAGUGGCGAAGGCGGUUCUCUGGGCCUUUCCUGACGCUGAGGAGCGAAAGCGUGGGGAGCGAACAGGCUUAGAUACCCUGGUAGUCCACGCUGUAAACGGUGGGUACUAGGUGUGGGGUCCAUUCCACGGGUUCCGUGCCGUAGCUAACGCUUUAAGUACCCCGCCUGGGGAGUACGGCCGCAAGGCUAAAGCUCAAAGGAAUUGACGGGGCCCC